rnacentral:rRNA from 1 species
GUGAUAGCUGGUUCUCCGCGAAAUGCAUUGUAGUGCAGCGUCAACGAAUAGCGUAUAGUAGGUACAGCACUGAUUGACAUGUUCAACGUAAGUUGGAUUGAGUAGGGGGAUGUGAAAGUCCUAUCUAGGUCAGUUAACCUCGGAAUGAUUAUACGUACGUAGUUGGCAGUGAGUCGUAAGGUGAUAAGGUCUCGCGACGAGAGAGGGAAACAGCCCAAA